rnacentral:RNase_MRP_RNA from 14 species
CUUUGGGAAAGUCCCCGGACAUGAUCGCCUUUGUUAUCACGCGGUUGGUGUCCCCACAGAAAGGCG